rnacentral:rRNA from 1 species
UACCAGCUCUCCGAGUGGUAGGGAUGAUUAUUGGGCUUAAAGCGUCCGUAGCCGGCUUAGCAAGUCUUCUGUUAAAUUCAGCGACCUAAUCGUUGAGCCGCGGGAGACACUACUAGGCUAGGAGGCGGGAGAGGCCGACGGUAUUCUCGGGGUAGGGGUGAAAUCCUAUAAUCCCGGGAGGACCACCAGUGGCGAAGGCUGUCGGCUAGAACGCGCUCGACGGUGAGGGACGAAAGCCGGGGGAGCGAACCGGAUUAGAUACCCGGGUAGUCCCAGCUGUAAACGAUGCGGGCUAGGUGUUGGGGUGGCUACGAGCCACUUCAGUGCCGCAGGGAAGCCAUUAAGCCCGCCGCCUGGGGAGUACGGCCGCAAGGCUGAAACUUAAAGGAAUUGGCGAGGGAGCACCACAAGGCGUGAAGCUUGCGGUUC